GGCGCUAUAGUGUAGUGGUUAUCACUUGGGAUUCUGACUUCUGCCCAAAAUUCUCUAACUGGUGCAUGUAGUUAAUCUUCCCAAAACCCAGGUUCGAGCCCUGGUAGCGCCU